AGCGUACACGGUGGAUGCCCUGGCAGUCAGAGGCGAUGAAGGACGUGCUAAUCUGCGAUAAGCGUCGGUAAGGUGAUAUGAACCGUUAUAACCGGCGAUUUCCGAAUGGGGAAACCCAGUGUGUUUCGACACACUAUCAUUAACUGAAUCCAUAGGUUAAUGAGGCGAACCGGGGGAACUGAAACAUCUAAGUACCCCGAGGAAAAGAAAUCAACCGAGAUUCCCCCAGUAGCGGCGAGCGAACGGGGAGCAGCCCAGAGCCUGAAUCAGUGUGUGUGUUAGUGGAAGCGUCUGGAAAGGCGCGCGAUACAGGGUGACAGCCCCGUACACAAAAAUGCACAUGCUGUGAGCUCGAUGAGUAGGGCGGGACACGUGGUAUCCUGUCUGAAUAUGGGGGGACCAUCCUCCAAGGCUAAAUACUCCUGACUGACCGAUAGUGAACCAGUACCGUGAGGGAAAGGCGAAAAGAACCCCGGCGAGGGGAGUGAAAAAGAACCUGAAACCGUGUACGUACAAGCAGUGGGAGCACGCUUAGGCGUGUGACUGCGUACCUUUUGUAUAAUGGGUCAGCGACUUAUAUUCUGUAGCAAGGUUAACCGAAUAGGGGAGCCGAAGGGAAACCGAGUCUUAACUGGGCGUUAAGUUGCAGGGUAUAGACCCGAAACCCGGUGAUCUAGCCAUGGGCAGGUUGAAGGUUGGGUAACACUAACUGGAGGACCGAACCGACUAAUGUUGAAAAAUUAGCGGAUGACUUGUGGCUGGGGGUGAAAGGCCAAUCAAACCGGGAGAUAGCUGGUUCUCCCCGAAAGCUAUUUAGGUAGCGCCUCGUGAAUUCAUCUCCGGGGGUAGAGCACUGUUUCGGCAAGGGGGUCAUCCCGACUUACCAACCCGAUGCAAACUGCGAAUACCGGAGAAUGUUAUCACGGGAGACACACGGCGGGUGCUAACGUCCGUCGUGAAGAGGGAAACAACCCAGACCGCCAGCUAAGGUCCCAAAGUCAUGGUUAAGUGGGAAACGAUGUGGGAAGGCCCAGACAGCCAGGAUGUUGGCUUAGAAGCAGCCAUCAUUUAAAGAAAGCGUAAUAGCUCACUGGUCGAGUCGGCCUGCGCGGAAGAUGUAACGGGGCUAAACCAUGCACCGAAGCUGCGGCAGCGACGCUGAUGCGUUGUUGGGUAGGGGAGCGUUCUGUAAGCCUGCGAAGGUGUGCUGUGAGGCAUGCUGGAGGUAUCAGAAGUGCGAAUGCUGACAUAAGUAACGAUAAAGCGGGUGAAAAGCCCGCUCGCCGGAAGACCAAGGGUUCCUGUCCAACGUUAAUCGGGGCAGGGUGAGUCGACCCCUAAGGCGAGGCCGAAAGGCGUAGUCGAUGGGAAACAGGUUAAUAUUCCUGUACUUGGUGUUACUGCGAAGGGGGGACGGAGAAGGCUAUGUUGGCCGGGCGACGGUUGUCCCGGUUUAAGCGUGUAGGCUGGUUUUCCAGGCAAAUCCGGAAAAUCAAGGCUGAGGCGUGAUGACGAGGCACUACGGUGCUGAAGCAACAAAUGCCCUGCUUCCAGGAAAAGCCUCUAAGCAUCAGGUAACAUCAAAUCGUACCCCAAACCGACACAGGUGGUCAGGUAGAGAAUACCAAGGCGCUUGAGAGAACUCGGGUGAAGGAACUAGGCAAAAUGGUGCCGUAACUUCGGGAGAAGGCACGCUGAUAUGUAGGUGAAGCGACUUGCUCGUGGAGCUGAAAUCAGUCGAAGAUACCAGCUGGCUGCAACUGUUUAUUAAAAACACAGCACUGUGCAAACACGAAAGUGGACGUAUACGGUGUGACGCCUGCCCGGUGCCGGAAGGUUAAUUGAUGGGGUUAGCGCAAGCGAAGCUCUUGAUCGAAGCCCCGGUAAACGGCGGCCGUAACUAUAACGGUCCUAAGGUAGCGAAAUUCCUUGUCGGGUAAGUUCCGACCUGCACGAAUGGCGUAAUGAUGGCCAGGCUGUCUCCACCCGAGACUCAGUGAAAUUGAACUCGCUGUGAAGAUGCAGUGUACCCGCGGCAAGACGGAAAGACCCCGUGAACCUUUACUAUAGCUUGACACUGAACAUUGAGCCUUGAUGUGUAGGAUAGGUGGGAGGCUUUGAAGUGUGGACGCCAGUCUGCAUGGAGCCGACCUUGAAAUACCACCCUUUAAUGUUUGAUGUUCUAACGUUGACCCGUAAUCCGGGUUGCGGACAGUGUCUGGUGGGUAGUUUGACUGGGGCGGUCUCCUCCUAAAGAGUAACGGAGGAGCACGAAGGUUGGCUAAUCCUGGUCGGACAUCAGGAGGUUAGUGCAAUGGCAUAAGCCAGCUUGACUGCGAGCGUGACGGCGCGAGCAGGUGCGAAAGCAGGUCAUAGUGAUCCGGUGGUUCUGAAUGGAAGGGCCAUCGCUCAACGGAUAAAAGGUACUCCGGGGAUAACAGGCUGAUACCGCCCAAGAGUUCAUAUCGACGGCGGUGUUUGGCACCUCGAUGUCGGCUCAUCACAUCCUGGGGCUGAAGUAGGUCCCAAGGGUAUGGCUGUUCGCCAUUUAAAGUGGUACGCGAGCUGGGUUUAGAACGUCGUGAGACAGUUCGGUCCCUAUCUGCCGUGGGCGCUGGAGAACUGAGGGGGGCUGCUCCUAGUACGAGAGGACCGGAGUGGACGCAUCACUGGUGUUCGGGUUGUCAUGCCAAUGGCACUGCCCGGUAGCUAAAUGCGGAAGAGAUAAGUGCUGAAAGCAUCUAAGCACGAAACUUGCCCCGAGAUGAGUUCUCCCUGACUCCUUGA
rnacentral:rRNA from 1 species